CGGAAAUACGAAGUGUAACCAAUGCUACUGUGGAUACGCCAUUACAGACUACGAUCGCCACGGCAAUCUGCCUCUAGAUGACUGCAGAGUGUUCAGAUGUCCUGGAAACCAGGAUGAAUAUUGUGGUGGAUAUGAUGCACUUCUUGUGUACAAUAUAACAGUGAUGACGACAUCACAAAAAACGUCUACGGAGUUAUCAUCCACUUCAUCUGGCUCGUCUACUCUAAGAACACCUAUUACAAAUUCAACAGACAUGCUACACGGGGGAGGAACUCCUCGACAUUCACGGAAUCGAACACGAAGCUAGUAUCACGGAGUCCCAGUACGCAGCCCUGUGUCCAUCCCUAGUCCAGCAGAUCCUCUCCGGUUCCUGCAGCAGUGAUGAACAUAAUGACCCAACUGAUGCGAUUACAAACGCCGAGAUUUGGGGCUAUGGUAACCUGGUCGUCCUCAUCAUCAGUCUCCUCGCUGUUUUCGGGGCUAUUUUUGUUCCAUGCAUGUCCGGUUUCGUGUACGAGGCUGUUAUUCAGACAAUGAUGGCGCUCGCCGUAGCAACGUUGACAGGGGAUGCCUUGUUACAUCUAAUACCGCAGGUAACCAUUCUCUCAAUAUAAUGCAAAGGAG